GGUGGUGGCACAUGCCUUUAGUCCCAGCACUCAGGAGGCAGAGGCAGGUGGAUCUCUGUGAGUUCGAGACCAUCCUGGUCUACAAGAGCUAGUUCCAGGACAGCCUCCAAAGCCACAGAGAAACCCUGUCUAAGAAAAAAAGGAAGAAUUUCAGAUAGGCUAUAGAGUGAGAACCUGUUCACAAAACAAAAAAUAGCAAACAGAAAAAAUGAACAGUUUUAAAACUGUUUUAAAACUUCCUUUUAUGAAGGAAGGAAGGGAAGAAGGAAGGAGUGAAGGAAACAAGAAAGGAAGAGAAAGGGAAGCCAGGAGAAGAGCUAUAAGAAGAUCAAGCUUUGGCAUUUCAAAAAGAACCUCAAAAGCACAAGCGACGGCCUCAACUCUCCUGGGAACUCAGCAAAGACUUCACAUGGUUUACCUGAUGGCUCCUCAAAUUCACAGCCUGUCUGUAGACGUCAAGGAAGAGGCUCCCACGGCUGUCCCCAGGACAGGGGGUAAAAACUGGCUGAUGUUUGGGGAAUUGCCAAAGAGCUCAGGACUUAACAGAAUUGCUCCUCCCACACCCACCGGAGACAGGCACUCCUCUCACUAUGGUCCUUCGGAUCUUACAGAACAGGAAGCUGGCGCAUGCUGAGGUUCAGUCACUUGUUGGAGGGCAGCAUCCCAGGUCCUUCAUGC
rnacentral:lncRNA from 1 species